UUUUUGUCCCCAGUGUGAACCUCCGAAGCCAAAGGGUAAGUAGCAAUCUGCAACCUGCACAAAGGACUCUCUUCUUCCUUUCCAUAGUGCCAGGGGUUAACCAGCCCAGGCCUUCAGUGUCUGCUACCCAGGAUGCUGCAGCCAGCCAAGAAACAAAGGGCACACGACCUGGAAUGGGAUUAACAUUUCCUUGGCUGGAACAUGGCUUUUGGGAAGCCUCUGUCCCUAACUAAUUUCUUCCUAACAGGGGUCCAUUUGCUCUGACUUCUGUAUCACCCUGUGGUGCCCCGUGUGCUCUGUUUGCCAAAUGAAGAGAGACAUCAACCGCAGGAGGGAGCAGGGCAUAUUCUGAUGGAUCCACGCUGCAUCCUGCGGAGCUGCUGGCAGGAGUUGCCACUGGCCUGGGUGUUGGGAAAUGCUCCAUGUGGGGCUUGCCUUGAUUCUAGUUGAUUUGCCCUUCCCUGAGUAACACCAGCAAUAAAGUUUUGAGUUUGUCUUCCUA